GCGAAAGCAUUCAUCAAUUACAUACUUUUUAAUCAAGAACGAAAGUCUGGGUAGCGAAGACGAUUAGAUACCGUUGUAGUCUAGACCAUAAACGAUGAUAUCUCAGGAUAUUAUUUAUAUAACUAUAAGACUAAUUUUUUUAUAAGUACAGUAAUGUAUUUAUAAAUAAUUCAAUGUUAUAAUUGUUCAUACAUAUUAAUAAAAAGUAAUUUUUAUUUUUAUAACUCGACAAAUAAUGCACUGUGUGGGAAACCAUAAGAUUUCUUUGUGGAGUGUAUGUUAGCAAUGAUGAAAUUUAAAAGAAUUGACGGAAGUACUACCACCAGGAGUGGAUUAUGCGAUUCAAAUUGACUCAACGCGUGGAAUCUUACCAGGUCAGGACACCGUGAGGAAAGACAGACUGCAGCUCUUUCUUGAUUCUGUGCUUGUUAAAUGUAGUGCAUGGCCUUUGGGAAGUGAGUGGAUUG
rnacentral:rRNA from 1 species